rnacentral:rRNA from 1 species
CGAAUCUACGCUAGCCAUGCAUGCCUCCGAUAGAAGAGCUUUCUCUCUGAAUCUGCGUACGGCUCCGCAAACCAGUUGUAAACCAUAGCAAGCAGGCUCGGGGGGAUGGGGCAACCCGUUCUCCUGGGCCACAAGGAUAACCCUGGUAAUUCUGAGGCUAAUACAAGAACGUACCACUCGGUGGACCGGGCAACCGGGAAGCUGGGGGGUGUGUGAAACGUCGCAUAAACCAGUGGGAAUAGUCGCACGCUCUGACCACCAUACAAACGUUCACGGUCGCAGUAGCCCUUCGGGGAGGCUCGGUCGGGUUCGGGUGGCUCUUGCAAUGUGCUUCUGACCUAUCAACUAGAUGGCAGCGUAACGGACAUGCUAUGGUGACAACGGGUACAGAGAUAAAGGGUUCCGGA